AUCUACAUUUGGUACUAUUUUUAUUACGUUACCAAUCCCAAGUUUCCUGUAUACCUCUCAUUAUUAGAAAAAACCUUGCUAGGUACAUCAGGAGAAUCCGAUGGUUUGACCUAUUUGUUCGGGCAGGUGCCUGGCAUAUGUUUGAACCUGCAGCAGGUCAGUCUGUGCUUUACCCCCAAGUGAUUAUUUAACCAUAACCCUGCUAAAUUUCUAUAAUGAACUUGUCCAUCUUUCAAUUUGGACAGUACCAUUAACUGUAAUUAAAAGGGGCGCUUUAUACUAAAAAGAUACUGGCUGAAUAGCGAAUAGUACAGAUCAUGAUCAGACUGCACGGAUGUGCAGACUGAUCAUGAUCUGCACUAGUCGCAAAGGCAGAAUCAAUCGUGUCUAGCAUGAUAAGGGUUAAGGAUUUUGUGCUAUAUGUAGCCCAGAUAUAUAUGCGUAAAACAAUUAAUGGUCUAGAAUAGCCCAUUGGGAAAUUUUAAUCGAGGCAUCGCUUUUCGAUAAGGUCUGGUAACAAUGGGGCUUCCUUUGAUCACAUUUCGUGGCAGCCAUAGGUUCUUAGUCUGGAUCCCGGCUAACCAUACUUGCUUAACAUAAUGUGCACUCACUGCAAAUGCAGAUCGAUGUAUUGAUUCAUCGCGUAAUUGUUAAGUUCUUCGUUACAAUUUGUCUAGUGACAUGUCGUCUAAGGGCGUCUGUAAUCCAUCCGUGAUUCAUGUUUUGUAAAGAGAUUUUCAUGAACCUGCUAAUUGUCCACAACAGCAUGAUGAAGCUAGUGUUAAAAUGGUAAAACCUUAAUUGAACUUUUGCGUUGGCAGCUAUUCUAAUAAAACAUAACAGAGUUGUUAUGAUCGCAAAGAAUAAUUGGGUUCGAACACUUGUUAGAGGAUGCUGAGUUAGAAAAUGGCUGGUUGGUCAAACAAAGGUCCCACUCGUGCUAGAAAAGCUUGUACUUAAUCUAACAGUAUGAAACCCUUGGUUGACCUAUCAGGCGAAGCUAUGCAUUUAUUCUAUUAAGCGCUAGGAAUUCUCUUAAUUAUUUGAAUCAUUGCUACCACUUUCGACUGCCUAGGUGACUUAUUGUUAACAGUAUUACUGCAGUAGUAAAUACUUCCCUCCUUGUACGGUAUCUACGAAACAAACGAAAUUGUUUCUUCACUGCGUCACUAAAAUUGUAAACAUGUGUCACAGUGGACAGACAAUGCCGUGAUUAAUUUCUAUUCCGUAGUGAUAAAGUUAGAUCUUAUAAUUUUUAUGUCCGGCGUGUGCUCAUGUCUUGUCCAUUUAUUGUAAUUCAGAUUCACCAUACACCUGACAUACCCUCUAAAGAGCUGCGUUAGAGCUUUGGUCAAUUUUACAUUUGUAUAAAAAAUGUUCAGUCACUACUGACCAAAUUACUGUACAGGUAAGAGGAGACUGAAAGGUGUCGGCUAUGGAACAAUAUUAAGGCAAAAAUUGCAUAUUGCCUUCUUGCGUACACGUGUCUCUGUCUGACAAGCUGACUGCUUGAUUUUGACAUUCGGAAUCCCAUCUUGCAUUCUUACAUGUACAUGCCUUUAUUUGAUAUUCAGUUUGAUUUGAUUUUGCCUGCUUCAUAUAUUCGUCUCGCUUUCGGACAUGCUGUAAUCUGAUAUACUACUUCAUCAUACUGACUAGUGGUUCCGUACAUCUUGCCUUCUCGGACCGUCAAUGGUGUAUACUAACAUCUAGCUAUCGGACAUGCUGUAAUCUGACAUACUACUUCAUCAUACUCAAAUAGUGGUUACUUACAUCGUGCCUUCUUGGAACGUCAAUGGUGUAUACUUCUUAGUGAAAACAACUUAAGAAGUUUCUUAACUAUGUGAUUGCAAGGAGCUGGGUUAUGAAAUAAUUUCAGUGCAUUCUUAAAUUCUUGUUCAGGUGGAGAUAACCCUUUGUACGGAAACACACGAACUGUACCGAGAGUGUUAAGACUACACGUCCGGUAACCGCACUAAACACCAUAUAUUCCUAUUUGAAUCCAAGUAAAAUGAGUAUAUUUUUCGAGACUCUACCUUUAAUCGGAUAUAUAAAUAGCGCGCUAUAAAUAGCAUACAGAACAGAAUUAUGUCAUCACCUGAGUACUAGUCGAAAUAAUUACACGUUCAUACAUGUAUUGUUUUAUAUUUGUGACGCUGACGGGCAAUCUAAUUGGGUAUAUUGCCUAUAUGAAAAAAUAUCACAAUAUUUCCCGGGAUCGCGUCAAAUUAGUUGGACUACUGUUGCUUAUUCAAAGGAGACAUAAUAUCUAACAUUUUGAGAAAUAGCGCUGUGGUCAGCAUUUGUCUCACGUGAACUGUGGAGACAUUUGGAUACUGUACCUAAAUGUUCAUCACAAAGUGCUGGUGUUUUGAUAUCUACAAGAGCAGACGGCAACAGAAUUGGAGAUUACCCAAAUCUAAAGAUGUUGAGGAGUACAAGAAACAACAAAAAAGCUAUGAAAAACAAAUGAAAUAAAAACAACGUGAAAUUAUAUUGAAUCAUGGCCCUGGGUUCCAAACCGUUCGACAACAACGAAAAAAAAAACUUUUUUUUUAGCUCACCAUAGCACAGACUGCUUAAGGUGAGCUAUUGUGAGUGACCGGCGUCCGUCGGCGUGCGUCUUGCGUAAACAUUUGCCUUGUGAACACUCUAGAGGCCACAUUUAUGACCCAAUCUUUAUGAAACUUGGUCAGAAUGUUAGUCAUGAUGAUCUCUAGGUCAAGUUUGAAAGUGGGUUAUGUGGGGUCAAAAACUAUGUCAGUAGGUUAGAUCAAAGAAAAUGCCUGUGAACACUCUAGAGACCACAUUUUUGACCCAAUCUUUAUGAAAAUUUGUCAGAAUGUUAGAAUGUUAGUCUUGAUAAUCUCUAGGUCAAGUUUGAAAUUGGGUCAUGUGGAGUUAAAACCUAGGUCAGUAGGUUAGAUCAAAUAAAACGCUUGUUAACACUCUAGAGACCACAUUUUUAACCCAAUCUUUAUAAAACUUGGUCAGAAUGUUAGUCUUGAUGAUCUCUAGGUCAAGUUUGAAACUGGAUCAUGUGGGAUCAAAAACUAGAUCACCAGGUCAGAUCAAAGGAAAAGCAACAUUUGUGUACCAAUGUUUUUGAAACUUGGCCAGAAUGUUAGCCUUGAUUAUCUUUAGGUCAAGAUUGAAUCUGGGUCAUGUUAGAUCAAAAAAUAGGUCAGUACGUUAGAUCAAUGGAAAGCCUUGUGAACACUCUAGAGACCAUAUUUAUGACCCAAUCUUUAUGAAACUUUGUUAGAAUGUUAGUCUUGAUGAUCUCUAGGUCAAUUUCGAAACUGUGUCAUGUUGGAUCAUAAACUAGGUCACCUGGUCAGAUCAAAUGAAAAGCUUGUAAACACUCUUAAAGGCCACAGUUGUGUACCAAUAUUUAUGAAACAUAGUCAGAAAGUUUGACUUGAUGAUUUCUAGGUCAAAUUUGAAUCUAGGUCAUGUGGGGUCAAAAACUAUAAACGACAGUGUCUACUUGCAGUAGGGAGCACAAUGCCUAACUUUAUAGUGCUGCCUCACCCCACCCAGUCACAUUAUACUGACACCGGGCUGACCAGUCCCAUCAUUAUCCUCUUAAUGCUGAACGUCAAGCAAAGAAGCUUCUAGUACCAUUUUUACGUCUUUGGUAUGACGCGGCCGGGGAUUGAACCCACGACCUCCCGCACUCAAAGCGGACGCUCUACCACUAGGCUACCGAGGCGGUAGGCCACAGUUGUAACUCAAUCUUUAUGAAACUGGGUCGAAUGUUUGUCUUAAUCAUUUCUAGGUCAAGGUCGAAUCUGGGUCAUGUGGGGUCAAAAACUAGGUCACCCAGUUAAAUCAAAGGAAAAGCUUGUGAAAUCUCUAGAGGCCACAGUUGUAACCAAAUCUUAAUGAAAUUUAAUCAAUAUGUUUGUGACGAUCUUUAGGUCAAGUUCAACUCUUAUCAUGUGGGGUCAAAAAAAAAUAGGUCAGUAGGCCAGAUAAACUCUUUUGAGCGAUAUAUAGGGCCAUGGCCCUCUUGUUUUUGCUAGAUAUCUGGAAAUUAAUGCUAUGUUUCUGAAGAAUGCUUUGAAACUUAAUUCUGACAGAUUAUCAUGAAAACAUGUGAGAAAUAGUUGUUUUUACUGAUUUUACGAUGAAAAUCGAAACGCGUUUGUUACGCUUUACUCGAGGCAAAGAAAAGUAUUUAUGGAGGUCAGUGCCUUCAAUUUUAUAAAAGACAAUUCAACACACAUUUCUGUCGAGAUCUAACUUUACGUGAUGGACCUUUUUAUCUCGGACAAAGUAUAUGAUACGCGAAAACGGUUCUGCAAAGUUGCUUAAAUGAGCAUGCAUAUCUUUAACAGUGCAAAUAAAAGAUAGAUUUUAAGAAGUUAUUCAUUUGUAUCAUACUGUAUAAUAAUAGAUUUAUGCUAUGUCAUUUUCAAAGAGAAUUUAUAUGUGUUUCCUUUUAUUUGUUAACUAUCUGUUUGUGUUGGCGUAAUAAACAAUUAUGAAUAUAAAAAUAUAAAGAUGA